AGUGAACGCUGGCGGUAGGCCUAACACAUGCAAGUCGAACGGCAGCACAGGAGAGCUUGCUCUCUGGGUGGUGAGUGGCGGACGGGUGAGGAAUACAUCGGAAUCUACUUUUUCGUGGGGGAUAACGUAGGGAAACUUACGCUAAUACCGCAUACGACCUACGGGUGAAAGCAGGGGAUCUUCGGACCUUGCGCGAUUGAAUGAGCCGAUGUCGGAUUAGCUAGUUGGCGGGGUAAAGGCCCACCAAGGCGACGAUCCGUAGCUGGUCUGAGAGGAUGAUCAGCCACACUGGAACUGAGACACCGUCCAGACUCCUACGGGAGGCAGCAGUGGGGAAUAUUGGACAAUGGGCGCAAGCCUGAUCCAGCCAUACCGCGUGGGUGAAGAAGGCCUUCGGGUUGUAAAGCCCUUUUGUUGGGAAAGAAAUCCAGCUGGUUAAUACCCGGUUGGGAUGACGGUACCCAAAGAAUAAGCACCGGCUAACUACGUGCCAGCCGCCGCGGUAA
rnacentral:rRNA from 1 species